rnacentral:rRNA from 1 species
UACGUAGGCGGCGAGCGUUGUCCGGAAUUACUGGGUGUAAAGGGCGUGUAGGCGGGAAUGCCAGUUGGAUGUGAAAUUCCGGGGCUUAACCUCGGCGCUGCAUCCGAAACUGCAUUUCUUGAGUGCUGGAGAGGAAAGCGGAAUUCCUAGUGUAGCGGUGAAAGGCGUAGAUAUUAGGAGGAACACCAGUGGCGAAGGCGGCUUUCUGGACAGUAACUGACGCUGAGGCGCGAAAGCGUGGGGAGCAAACAGG